rnacentral:rRNA from 1 species
GUCCAGACUCCUACGGGAGGCAGCAGUGAGGAAUAUUGGUCAAUGGGCGAGAGCCUGAACCAGCCAAGUCGCGUGAGGGAGUACUGCCCUAUGGGUUGUAAACCUCUUUUGUCGGGGAGCAAAAGCCGGACGUGUCCGGCUGUGAGAGUACCCGAAGAAAAAGCAUCGGCUAACUCCGUGCCAGCAGCCGCGGUAAUACGGAGGAUCCGAGCGUUAUCCGGAUUCAUUGGGUUUAAAGGGUGCGUAGGUUGUUUUAUAAGUUAGCGGUGAAAUACCGAUGCUCAACAUCGGGGCUGCCGCUAAUACUGUAGGGCUAGAGAUCGGAUGCAGCAGGCGGAAUGUGUAGUGUAGCGGUGAAAUGCAUAGAUAUUACACAGAACACCGAUUGCGAAGGCAGCUUGCUAGGCCGGAUCUGACACUGAUGCACGAAAGCGUGGGGAUCGAACAGGAUUAGAUACCCUGUAAG